rnacentral:lncRNA from 10 species
AGUCCCAAAGAUUCUGAGGAAGAGAAGACAACAUUGCAGGAUGAGCUCUUCUCCCCUUUUGUCCCCAAAACUUGGGCCAGGACAUUUCCUCAUGAUUAAUUUCAGACCAUACAUCUUUGGCAAGAGUUUCACAGAAACUUCUCAUCGCAUCUUAUCAGGCGGCACACGAUUCUGUUUUGUCUUGGAAUGAAGGAUGCUGACUUUGAUCACUUGCUUGCCGUAGUGUCUGCCAGCCGUCUCCACCAUCAAGCUACUCUUUUCUUCUUUGCUGAGUCUCUGUCGCCAGGCUGAAGUGCAGUGGCACGAUCUCAGCUCACUGCAACCUCUGCCUCCUGGGUUCAAGCGAUUCCCUGACCCAGCCUCCUGAGUAGCUGAGACCACAGGAGCCUUGGACACCUACUUGCAAGUCCUCAGGAGGAUAGGCUAUUGGAGAUCUGGGUUCCAAACACAGAGAUACUGGAAUGAAGAAGACAGCGGCUCUCUGAUGAGCUUUCUGGGGUUUGGAAGAGUUCAGGUCUUGAGGCCAGGGAGUUCGGUUUGCCCUCACAGCUGCCCCGUCCAUUCCCACAGUCACCCCACACUGUACAUCGUCCUGUGGCCAUGCUGAUGGUGCCUCCAGAGGCCGUGGCUUCUCCAUCUCAGGCUGAGGAAUGCUCUCUCCUCAGGAGCUCCCUCGUAUCUCAGAAGAAAUUGCCUCUGGAAGGAACACAGUUGGAUUCAAGAUCUUCACUCUCUAUCAACAUACCGGGGGAGUUGGGGGCUGAGAGAAUCAUUGAUCAUGAAGGUGUCGCUUGCCAGGAAGACCUGAAGCAGAGAUGGCAAUGCUUGUGUCAUCCCCAGAGCCAACUCUAAUGGGCAAGUAGCAAGUUCCUGGAGGGCUGCGUUGAGAGGGAUUCCGGGACUGACUGGGCUGCCUAGGAAAGCGUUGUCUCCUGACAGCACUGACUAGUAACAUGCUUACUCUCCCUGGCUUGAAGUGUUGCCACCUCGGGAUGGCUGCCUUGCAACCGAGAAGAGAGUCUUAAGUAGAAGGAUGCAUCUCUGGUGGUUGAGUUUAGAUGUCACACAACUGCAGAGAGAAGGUGCCAGCCAUGUGUCUGCAUGCUGGAAGCUGUUGCCAUCUUAUAGCCAGCCUUCUCCCCCAGCCCCUCCUAGCCAGUCACAUAAAGAAGCACCCAAAAUCCCAAACUGC